rnacentral:lncRNA from 1 species
GCAGGGGAGAUUUUCUGGCUUCUCUUGGAUCAGGUCAGGUGUUCAUCCUCAGUCCAAUCAGACAAAUGUUGAGUACAGACAAGCUGCAUGACGUGGCUUGCCCAGGCCCUGCAUCCUGUCCACCUAGACUACCCUCUGCUCUGUCACUUCAGCAUCUGGGAGAGGCACAGUGCUAGAUUCUGGAACUGCAAAUUUAAAUGGAUUCAAUCUCUGCCUUUAUGGAGCUCCCUGUCUAAUGGAAAUAAGAGAUGGACAGUAGACGGUCACACCUGAAUCAUCUGAGACUAAUAAGAAUUUAUCCUGUUUCUGAAGAUGAUCAGAAAAGCAGAUCAACAACCCUUUUGCAUUAUGCCCUCC